rnacentral:rRNA from 1 species
UACGUAGGUGGCAAGCGUUGUCCGGAUUUACUGGGCGUAAAGAGCGCGCAGGCGGUCGUCCAAGUCGCGUGUGAAAGCCCCCGGCUCAACUGGGGAGGGUCACGCGAUACUGGUCGACUCGAAGGCAGGAGAGGGUAGUGGAAUUCCCGGUGUAGUGGUGAAAUGCGUAGAUAUUCGGAGGAACACCAGUGGCGAAGGCGGCUCACUGGUCCAUUACUGACGCUGAGGUGCGAAAGCGUGGGGAGCAAACAGG